rnacentral:rRNA from 1 species
CGGCGGACGGGUGAGUAACGCGUGGGAAAUUGCCCUCUACUGGGGGACAACAUUCGGAAACGGAUGCUAAUACCGCAUACCCCCUACGGGGGAAAGCAGGGGAUCUUCGGACCUUGCGCUACUGGAUAUGCCCGCGUCGGAUUAGCUAGUUGGUGAGGUAAUGGCUCACCAAGGCGACGAUCCGAACCUGGUCUGAGAGGAUGAUCUGCCACACUGGGACUGAGACACGGCCCAGACUCCUCUCCUAGGCAGCAGUGGGGAAUAUUGGACAAUGGGCGCAAGCCUGAUCCAGCCAUGCCGCGUGUGUGAAGAAGGCCCUACGGUUGUAAAGCACUUUCAGCAGGGAGGAAGGCCUUAAAGUUAAUACCUUUGAGGAUUGACGUUACCUGCAGAAGAAGCACCGGCUAACUCCGUGCCGCAGCCGCGGUAAUACGGAGGGUGCAAGCGUUAAUCGGAAUUACUGGGCGUAAAGCGCGCGUAGGCGGUUAGUUAAGCUGGAUGUGAAAGCCCU